GACGAACGCUGGCGGCGUGCCUAAUACAUGCAAGUCGAGCACAGGAAACUGACGGAACUCUUCGGAGGGAAGGCAGUGGAAUGAGCGGCGGACGGGUGAGUAACACGUAAGGAACCUGCCUCAAGGAUUGGGAUAACUCCGAGAAAUCGGAGCUAAUACCGGAUAGUUCAACGGACCGCAGGGUCCGCGGAUGAAAGGCGCUUCGGCGUCACCUUGAGAUGGCCUUGCGGUGCAUUAGCUAGUUGGUGGGGUAAUGGCCCACCAAGGCGGCGAUGCAUAGCCGACCUGAGAGGGUGAUCGGCCACACUGGGACUGAGACACGGCCCAGACUCCUACGGGAGGCAGCAGUAGGUAAUCUUCCACAAUGGACGAAAGUCUGAUGGAGCAACGCCGCGUGAGUGAUGAAGGUUUUCGGAUCGUAAAACUCUGUUGUAAGGGAAGAACACGUACGAGAGGAAAUGCUCGUACCUUGACGGUACCUUACGAGAAAGCCACGGCUAACUACGUGCCAGCAGCCGCGGUAACAC
rnacentral:rRNA from 1 species